rnacentral:pre_miRNA from 1 species
UAAAUACUCCCUUCGUCCUAAAAUUUUUGUUUUAAAUUCGUCUACAUAUAAAUGUAUCUAGUCAUAUUUUGAUAUUUAGAUAUAUCCAUUUUUAAAUAAACGUAAGACAAGAAUUUGAGACGGAGGAAAUACUUG